ensembl:lncRNA
CUAGGGUUGUGGUAAAGGCUGGAGUUAGGGUUGUAGUAGAGAUUAGGGUUGUGGUAGAGGCUGGGGUCAGGGUUAUAGUAGAGGUUAGGGUUGUAGUAGAGAUUAGGGUUGUAGUAGAGAUUAGGGUUGUGGUAGAACUGGGGUCAGGGUUGUAGUAGAGUUUGAGUUUAGGGUUGUAGUAGAGGUUAGGGUUGUAGUAGAGGUUAGGGUUGUAGUAGAGUUUAGGGUUGUGGUAGAACUGGUGUAAGGGUUGUAGUAGAGUUUAGGGUUGUAGUAGAGGCUAGGGUUGUGGUAGAACUGGCAUCAGGGUUAUUGUAGAGGUUAGGGUUGUAGUAGAGGUUAGGGUUGUGGAAGAGACUGGAGUUAGGGUUGUAGUAGAGAUUAGGGUUGUGGUAGAGGCUGGGGUCAGGGUUAUAGUAGAGGGUAGGGUUGUAGUAGAGGCUAGGGUUGUGGAAGAGGCUGGGGUCAGGGUUGUGGUAGAGAAUGGGGUCAGGGUUAUUGUAGAGGUUAGGGUUGUAGUAGAGGUUAGGUUUGUGG